rnacentral:rRNA from 1 species
UACAGAGACUGCAAGCGUUAUUCGGAUUCACUGGGCGUAAAGGGUGCGCAGGCGGCCAAGUGUGUGAGGCGUGAAAGCCCGGGGCUUAACCCCGGAAUUGCGCCUCAAACUACAUGGCUAGAGCAUUGGAGAGGGUAGCAGAAUUCAUGGUGUAGCAGUGAAAUGCGUAGAUAUCAUGAGGAAUACCAGAGGCGAAGGCGGCUACCUGGACAAUUGCUGACACUGAGGCACGAAGGCUAGGGGAGCAAACGGG